UUUUUUCCCCUUAUAAUUCCGACCAACUUGGUACUUUCGGAAUAUUUCCCUGCUCACUUUCAUUUUACACCCUUGCCUCUCAUCACUUCAAUUGCGCCCCCGAGGAGACAUAUGGUCGCUUCUCUUUGUUAGCUUAACUGCAGCUUUGGACGUCAACUUCAUUUCACCUGCAGCACUCAGUUGCUAUUGUUUAAGUAAAUUACACUCUUUAAGUUCUUCUUUUUCUGUCCUCUUUCUUGUUAUUGUUGUUGUUUGUGCAAUUUGUUACUCUUUGAUGAAAUCUUGCUUUCGUAUCCAAACCCAUCUGUAAAUUUUCCGUCUUUAUACUGAUAAAAAAUCUGGAGCAUAUCAAUUCGCGUUGUAGCUUCUGUUGCAUUAGGGUUUAAGAGUUUGUCCUUUUCCAAAAAUUCUUUUUAAAUACUUAAUUUCUCUUCAGCAGUCUUGCACUGUCCCUUUUUAUUCUCUUCUCUGCUUUUGUGGGUGUAUUUUGUUUUGUUUUCUUGGACAGGUACCUAUUUCACCGACGAGGAGCUCCGACAACUAUCGUUCAAACUCUCGUUCAGACUCGCGGCAGGACGCAAUAGAGCCGCACAUUUGGCUAAGAUUCAGGAAAACUCGGGCGCAGCAACGCACACUUCCAGGUUUUUCCACCGGGAGUUGGUACCUCCCGCUCUCUUGUUUAUUUUGUGCACCUUUUUACGUAUUUUAGCUAGCAUUCCGGGCGUGGUCUAUUCUGUUGUUAUCUAGUUUGCUACAUUUGCGUUUUUCGCUAUAGUGCGUGUGU
rnacentral:lncRNA from 1 species